AACGAACGCUGGCGGCAUGCCUAACACAUGCAAGUCGAACGAGACCUUCGGGGCUAGUGGCGCACGGGUGCGUAACGCGUGGGAACCUGCCCUUAGGUUCGGAAUAACUCCCCGAAAGGGGUGCUAAUACCGGAUAAUGUCUUCGGACCAAAGAUUUAUCGCCUUUGGAUGGGCCCGCGUUGGAUUAGCUAGUUGGUAGGGUAAAAGCCUACCAAGGCGACGAUCCAUAGCUGGUCUGAGAGGAUGAUCAGCCACACUGGGACUGAGACACGGCCCAGACUCCUACGGGAGGCAGCAGUGGGGAAUAUUGGACAAUGGGCGAAAGCCUGAUCCAGCAAUGCCGCGUGAGUUAUGAAGGCCUUAGGGUUGUAAAGCUCUUUUACCCGGGAUGAUAAUGACAGUACCGGGAGAAUAAGCUCCGGCUAACUCCGUG
rnacentral:rRNA from 1 species